AGAGAAUGAUAGAAGGCCUCUCCUCUGCCCCACCUCUUUCAUGCCUUUCAUGUAGGCAAAGUAGACAGGGAGGGUGUUUUCUCCCAAUCAAGCUAUAAUCAAACUGACUUAGAAGAAGCUAUUAAUGCACAGAUCCAUCAUUGCUUGGCUAUGGACAAACGGGCAGGUGGUGCUGCACAACAGGCUGGGAUGAGCUCUUUUUUUCCUUCCUGGACGGAAAAGGAGAUGGACCUAAACAGCUCUGAGCAGCCAACGGAGGGAAGAAGAGAUUCCUAGAAGGCAAGAAACAAAAUGGCCAGGUAACCCAUCUGAAUAGUAUCCGGGCAUUAGCACAGGCUACCAGCCAAUCAGAAGCAAGGAAGUGAAGAGGAAAGGAGGACUGAGGGAUUGUUUUGGCUGCUGGUCACUCAGAGACUAAGAGAGAGAGCCUUCAGACUCCCUCAUUCCCUUGUGGGAUUUAUGAGGAAACUAAGACCCAUAAAUAUCAAAAAUGUGACCCAAGGCCUUGGAUAUAGUGAUUGUCAGAGUUGCCCUCAACCUGGGACCUCUGGGAUCAAGAGAAGUGAGCCUUGGACUAACUACAUGUUCACUCUCGCAUCGGAAAUUGGGUGUAAUUUGGCUUAAAUAUGGGGCUUGGGGAUUGUUAUCAAUUUGUUAUGGCACAAAUUGUCCUUUUUCAAUUUGCCUUUUCUCUUCCCUUCUUCCCUCCAAAAUAUCCCCCUAUUCUUUCUCCCUCUGCACUUCCAAUUCAGAGGAACUCAGGUUUUUACUUCCUUAGGAGGACGUGCUAGCAUCACCGGUGUUGUGGGCCUUGAGCCGAGGGCCUCAGGACUGUGAUGAGGCUCAGGGCCACAGUAAGAGCAGGGUUUCCUGAACACAACACUGCACUUAACCACACCUGGGUGAAAAUUUCAUUUUCUUCACACAAAGACUGGGCUCUAAAGUGUCCAGUGUUCUAUGAGUCUCGAUAAGGUGAAAUAAUUCUGUUAUUGUUGACUCAUAGAUUUUCUGCUUGCAUGUAUACCUAAAGACUUUUUGCAAUUCUUGCCAGGGUAUAUAUUUUUUAAGAUACAAAACUGUCUUACACCCCACAGCAAGCUUUAAUCCUGUGAGGACAAUCUGUUUCUCCUGGCAACACUAAGGCUACUAGAUGAACAGGGGUCAGCCGGGUAGUUUGAAGAGAAGCCUUGGUAAUCUGUUAGACAAAGCUGAGAAUUCUCUAAAGAAUGUCUAGCAAAGAUACUUCAGUUUGAAGUGAAUAGAAAGGGUUUUGUUCACAGGCCCUGCCUUGCUGCUGGAUUCAAAGAAUGUGCAGCACCAGAAAAGGACAUCAAUGUCCUUCUUGAAAAUGAAACACACACGCGCACACACACACACACACACACACGUGUCUUCUUUUCUGCCUGCAUUGAGCAUUGCAUAACUGUGGAAAAGUUCAUCACGCCUGAAAAUAUGUAUCUUUCCUUUGAUCCAAAGCAAGUGCUAUAUUGGAAUAAAGAUGCCAUAUCUUCCGCCUUUAGUAAAAUGAAUUGUCAAGGAUUUUGCUUCAGAAAGAUCAAGAAAAGACCAAACGAUUCUGCAGGGUGAGGCCUCAGAGUUCAGGCUGUUGAUUAGGAGUUAGGGGCCCUGUAAGUCUUAUUGGUUCUCAGCUUUCUCACUAGCUCAUGUUUGUGACCUUAGGCAAGGCACUUAAGCUCUUUGUACCUUCAUUCCUCCAUUUGAAAAUUAGAGAUAAUACUUGCCGCCUACUUAAACUCAAAGGGAUAUGUGAGGAUUAGCCAAUUAAAGUUUGCCAAAUGCUUGGGAAUCAAUGGAGGGAAAAAUCUGUAUGAAUAUAAGGUAUCAUUGUCAGUCCCGCCUGACUCCCUCUUCACUCUCUUACCCCUCCUGUUUCCACCCUCUCUUUUAAAGGAUUGCCUUCCUGGGAAACUCAUGAGCAUUAUGCAUGGUUUUACUUAUGGUUGCUAUUGUGGAAAGUGGCCAUCUCCUAUUAUUAAGUGAUUUGUUUGAAGUUGGUCCUUUCUAUACCAUCACGGGGGAGGUUUCCAAAUCAAAGCAUCCUAGACUGAUUGUCAGUGAGGCACAGCUGGCAAGGUUUCUUUUGGGUUUACCUUUAGCAUCCUGUAGAGAGGAGAAAACAACCAUUUUAAUGUAAAAUAGUAAGCAUAAUUUGGAAAUAUUUGCCCAUUAGGAAUACAAAGCUAGUGAGGUACAAAAAUAAAGUCAAUUUAGAGCCCUUGUUACAAUCCUUGAAGAAAUUCCCCUUUUAACCAAAACAAUAAUAGUGCUUCCUAUUUCAUAAACGUUGCUCCUCUGGCUGUUACAGCCACGUGAAAAAUGAGUGUAACAUAACUAUGGCAUAUUAUCUGUUUGUUUCACAAUUGGAAAAUUGAGAUGCAGAGAGAUUAAGUGACUUGCUCACCACAACUUAGCUAACGAACGGAACGGCAA
rnacentral:lncRNA from 10 species